GAGGGAAUCCGAAAGAGAAAACAGGGGGCAUAAGGAACAAUCAAGUUAGAAGAUCUUAGGGAGAUCCUUUUGGGAUUCACCAUUUUGUCGAAUGCUGUGACCAAGCAUUUCAAGGAUUAGGAGAAGUAGGUGAUUAUGCAGCAUGAUAAUAUGACCCAGAUGACUUCAAAUAUCUGGGGUUAAAAUACACAAGAAAUAUUGAUGGUAGAAGAUGACAUAGAGAUCGACACGUCAGAGGAAUAGACGGCCAAUGAAAUGAAAGUCUAGCUUGAGUUUUUUGUAUUUGUAAUGCCAGUAGUGGAAAUUCUGUUCAAGGAGAUGAAUCUCAUUACUCAGAUCUAAACUCUCAAAUGUAUCACAUAUUGGUAGCACCACUAGUCAUUAAGUUUGAAGACUAAGAGCUAUGUGAAGAUAAGCUAUGCAGCUAGAGUAGUGACCAGGCCUAUCCCCAAGAGGUUUAAAAAAUUGGAUAUACCUAAA
rnacentral:lncRNA from 1 species